rnacentral:rRNA from 1 species
UCGAUCUCAAAUCAGGUAGGACUACCCGCUGAACUUAAGCAUAUCAAUAAGCGGAGGAAAAGAAACUAACAAGGAUUCCCCUAGUAACUGCGAGUGAAGCGGGAAGAGCUCAAUUUAAAUCUGGCGUGCCUCUGGUCGUCCGAGUUGUAGUCUA